CGGGUGAGUAACACGUGGAUAACCUACCUAUAAGACUGGGAUAACUUCGGGAAACCGGAGCUAAUACCGGAUAAUAUAUUGAACCGCAUGGUUCAAUAGUGAAAGACGGUUUUGCUGUCACUUAUAGAUGGAUCCGCGCCGCAUUAGCUAGUUGGUAAGGUAACGGCUUACCAAGGCAACGAUGCGUAGCCGACCUGAGAGGGUGAUCGGCCACACUGGAACUGAGACACGGUCCAGACUCCUACGGGGAGGCAGCAGCA
rnacentral:rRNA from 1 species